rnacentral:rRNA from 1 species
AGUGAACGCUGGCGGUAGGCCUAACACAUGCAAGUCGAACGGCAGCACAGUAAGAGCUUGCUCUUACGGGUGGCGAGUGGCGGACGGGUGAGGAAUACAUCGGAAUCUACUUUUUCGUGGGGGAUAACGUAGGGAAACUUACGCUAAUACCGCAUACGACCUACGGGUGAAAGCAGGGGAUCUUCGGACCUUGCGCGAUUGAAUGAGCCGAUGUCGGAUUAGCUAGUUGGCGGGGUAAAGGCCCACCAAGGCGACGAUCCGUAGCUGGUCUGAGAGGAUGAUCAGCCACACUGGAACUGAGGCACGGUCCAGACUCCUACGGGAGGCAGCAGUGGGGAAUAUUGGACAAAGGGCGCAAGCCUGAUCCAGCCAUACCGCGUGGGUGAAGAAGGCCUUCGGGUUGUAAAGCCCUUUUGUUGGGAAAGAAAAGCAGCAGGUUAAUACCCCGCUGUUCUGACGGUACCCAAAGAAUAAGCACCGGCUAACUUCGUG